rnacentral:rRNA from 1 species
CUGAGAGGUUGAACGGCCACAUUGGACUGAGACACGGCCCAGACUCCUACGGGAGGCAGCAGUGGGGAAUAUUGCACCAUGGGGGAAACCCUGAUGCAGCGACGCCGCGUGGAGGAAGAAGGUCUUCGGAUUGUAAACUCUAUGUUGUUGAGGAAGAUAAUGACGGUACUCAACAAGGAAGUAACGGCUAACUACGUGCCAGCAGC